CCAAACUUGGUCAUUUAGAGGAAGUAAAAGUCGUAACAAGGUUUCCGUAGGUGAACCUGCGGAAGGAUCAUUGCAAAAUAUCCUUGCAGUCUGCGAGGUUUACAGGAGCUUUUUUCCUUUUCGAAGGAAGAAUAUAAAGCUUAGCGCGAUUUUUGUUUCGGAAAAUUGCUGCUCUCGGCUUCUGUAGUAAAACGUAUGCAACAGCUGUGUUGGACGUGUUGAAUUGAAAAAUUUGACAAGUAUAACGCAGAUGUAUUUUCACUGUUUCAUUGAUUUGCCUUUAUGAUUUUGUCUGAUGAUUUUUCGAGGCAGAGUUUCAGCGGCGAAUGCUGCUUGGAUGAUGUUCUUGAAUAAAACAAAUUUAAAACAACUUUUAACAAUGGAUCUCUUGGCUCUCGCAUCGAUGAAGAACGCAGC
rnacentral:misc_RNA from 1 species